rnacentral:rRNA from 1 species
UUCCAGACUCCUACGGGAGGCAGCAGUGGGGAAUAUUGGGCAAUGGGCGCAAGCCUGACCCAGCAACGCCGCGUGAAGGAAGAAGGCUUUCGGGUUGUAAACUUCUUUUAAGAGGGAAGAGUAGAAGACGGUACCUCUUGAAUAAGCCACGGCUAACUACGUGCCAGCAGCCGCGGUAAUACGUAGGGGGCAAGCGUUAUCCGGAUUUACUGGGUGUAAAGGGAGCGUAGACGGCAAUGCAAGCCAGAUGUGAAAGCCCGGGGCUCAACCCCGGGACUGCAUUUGGAACUGUGUAGCUGGAGUGUCGGAGAGGCAGGCGGAAUUCCUAGUGUAGCGGUGAAAUGCGUAGAUAUUAGGAGGAACAUCAGUGGCGAAGGCGACUAUCUGGCACAUAACUGACGCUGAGGAGCGAAAGCGUGGGUAGCAAACAGGAUUAGAUACCCGUGUAAG